UACGAAGGGGGCAAGCGUUGUUCGGAAUUACUGGGCGUAAAGGGCGCGCAGGCGGCCUUAGUAGUCAGACGUGAAAGCCCCGGGCUCAACCUGGGAAUAGCGUUUGAUACUCUGAGGCUUGAGUUCGGGAGAGGUGAGUGGAAUUCCCAGUGUAGAGGUGAAAUUCGUAGAUAUUGGGAAGAACACCGGUGGCGAAGGCGGCUCACUGGACCGAUACUGACGCUGAGGCGCGAAAGCGUGGGGAGCAAACAGGG
rnacentral:rRNA from 1 species